GCACUAAAUUGGAAUGCUACAUUACAUUGGAAAGAGACAGAAAAGAUUAUCAUGGCCCCGGUGCAAGGAUGACAUGCAAACUCGUGAACUGUUCCAUAUUUUU